UAAAUUAGUCACUCCACGAAAUCAAAUGUAGAGUAAUACGUAACGAGACGUAAUACAUUUAUUUUUCUUAUUUCUUAUUUCACUACGUGAAAACGAAUAUGAAAAUCAUAAUUUUCUUAUUUGCUGUAAUUGCGAUCUUAGUCGCAGUUAAUAUCCCGGCUAUUAAUGCAAUGUCUGACGCCGACGCUAUCCCUCCGGUUAAUCAAGCUGCUAUAGAAAAAUGGGCCAAGGAAUCAAAGGCUCAGCUUGACAAAAUGUUGAACGGAAAAUAAGGAUAAUAUGGAUAAUAAGAACAAUAACCUCUUAAUGUUUGAUCCUACUUAAUACGUUGUCGAUAGACAUUAAAUAAAUGGAUUAAAUUUGGUUUGUGAAUUUUAAAUAAACGCAGCAGCAAAUUAAAUUAA